GACGAGGUGGCCGAGUGGUUAAGGCGAUGGACUGCUAAUGCAUUGUGCAUUGCACGCGUGGGUUCAAAUCCCAUCCUCGUCG
rfam:Loxodonta africana unplaced genomic scaffold scaffold_143, whole genome shotgun sequence.